GGAUGAACGCCGGCGGCGUGCCUAAUACAUGCAAGUCGAGCGAACAGAUAAGGAGCUUGCUCCUUUGACGUUAGCGGCGGACGGGUGAGUAACACGUGGGUAACCUACCUAUAAGACUGGAAUAACUCCGGGAAACCGGGGCUAAUGCCGGAUAAUAUUUAGAACCGCAUGGUUCUAAAGUGAAAGAUGGUUUUGCUAUCACUUAUAGAUGGACCCGCGCCGUAUUAGCUAGUUGGUGGGGUAAUGGCUUACCAAGGCAACGAUACGUAGCCGACCUGAGAGGGUGAUCGGCCACACUGGAACUGAGACACGGUCCAGACUCCUACGGGAGGCAGCAGUAGGGAAUCUUCCGCAAUGGGCGAAAGCCUGACGGAGCAACGCCGCGUGAGUGAUGAAGGUCUUCGGAUCGUAAAACUCUGUUAUUAGGGAAGAACAAAUGUGUAAGUAACUGUGCACGUCUUGACGGUACCUAAUCAGAAAGCCACGGCUAACUACGUGCCAGCAG
rnacentral:rRNA from 1 species